rnacentral:rRNA from 1 species
UGAACGCUGGCGUCAGGCCUAACACAUGCAAGUCGAGCGGAUGACGGGAGCUUGCUCCUUGAUUCAGCGGCGGACGGGUGAGUAAUGCCUAGGAAUCUGCCUGGUAGUGGGGGACAACGUUUCGAAAGGAACGCUAAUACCGCAUACGUCCUACGGGAGAAAGCAGGGGACCUUCGGGCCUUGCGCUAUCAGAUGAGCCUAGGUCGGAUUAGCUUGUUGGUGAGGUAAUGGCUCACCAAGGCGACGAUCCGUAACUGGUCUGAGAGGAUGAUCAGUCACACUGGAACUGAGACACGGUCCAGACUCCUACGGGAGGCAGCAGUGGGGAAUAUUGGACAAUGGGCGAAAGCCUGAUCCAGCCAUGCCGCGUGUGUGAAGAAGGUCUUCGGAUUGUAAAGCACUUUAAGUUGGGAGGAAGGGCAGUAAGUUAAUACCUUGCUGUUUUGACGUUACCGACAGAAUAAGCGCCGGCUAACUCUGUGCC